rnacentral:rRNA from 1 species
UUCAUGAAGGAUGGUGUUAAUGCCACUCCUCUCCCGACUGUUAACACUACUGGUUAUAUUGACCAUGCCGCUUUUCUUGGCACGAUUAACCCUGAUACCAAUAAAAUCCCUAAGCAUUUGUUUCAGGGUUAUUUGAAUAUCUAUAACAACUAUUUUAAAGCGCCGUGGAUGCCUGACCGUACCGAGGCUAAAGAUCGGAA